rnacentral:misc_RNA from 1 species
GGAAGUAAAAAUCGUAGCAAGGUUUCCGUAGGUGAACCUGCGGAAGGAUCAUUAUUGUAUAACCGAGGUGCGAGGGCUGUCGCUGACCCGAAAGGUCGUGCACGCCCGAGUGCCCUCACACACAUCCAUCUCACCCCUAUGUGCACCACCGCGUGGGUCCCCCUUUGGCUUGUUCGGAGGGGGGCUUACGUUUUCACACAAACUUUGUAUGCAGUGUAGAAUGUAUUUUUUGUUUUUGCGAUCACGCAAUCAAUACAACUCUCAACAACGGAUCUCUUGGCUCUC